GCGGUGAGUGCGGAUCCGAUGGUGUGGUGGCCGGAUCCGGCCUCUCCACAGCAACGCUCCUCCACCCCCUCGUCAUGGCAACACCGGCCAUGCUUCGACCUCCUCCCUCCUCUCCCUACGACGUAGAUCUAGCGAAAAGGUGGGCUACGACCACGGUUCCAGUGGGUUGGAGCCCAGCGGCUGCGGAUCCGGCCUCCUCCACUCCCUCCAUGGCUCCAGCGGCUCCGGAGCAGCGGCAGCGGUGGUGGCAGCUCGUGGAUGGGCUCGGCGGGCCCGUGGAUGGGCUCAGCGGGCCUAUCCAUGGGCUUUUUUCUUUUUUCUUUUUUAUUUGAUUUACCGAGGCGGGCAUCAAACCGCCUCGAAAAAUACUCUAUUUACUGUGACCUUAUGUCCGAGGCGGUUGCGAUGCCCGCCUUGGUAAAUCUAUUUUGCCCGCCUCGAAUAAUAUUUUGUGUAGUAGUGUAUGGACGCGUCAUCAUUGGCCUUAGAGGCAUCCAAGGCAGAGCUUUUGCCCAGAAUCCGACCGUGGUGGCAUAGGGGCAUGGGCUCCAAGAACGACGCCUCAAGGAAGGUACGUUGUUAACACUUGAAAAUGCCCUAAAAAUUGAGUUCUUUAUGGGUGUGUUUGGUUCGAUCUGGCUUGGCUAACCAAAUACACCAUGAUAUCUCUAGCCUAGCUCUCACACUGCAAGAGGUUGUUAUUUGGUUUACCUGUACUAGUGAACGUUAACUUGUCUAGAACUCUAGAUCUUGUUUAGUUGCUUGCUUAGCUUGGAUUCUCUCGCCUAUUCCCCUCACCUCUUCCUUGUGAAGGUGGCUCUUAGCUAAAAAAUCAUCUCCUCUCACUACCAACGGUUCUUCCUCUCCUCCAUAUACUCCCCAUUCGAUGGGGCUACGAUCGGUGGAGCAGAGACGCAAGCCUGGCUAGGCAAAAAGUCCACCCCUGCUAAGUGCCCAUUGGUGGCUAGCUGGGAUCUAGCUUGGGCCUGUUCAGUCACCCAAACAGGCCUAAGUUUGCUCUGGACAAGGGAAAUCUAUGGUACAA
rnacentral:lncRNA from 1 species